GGAGUAUGGGCCGUUCUCAGUCCCAUUGUGGCCGUUCAACCUCUCAGUCCGGCUACGCAUCAUCGCCUUGGUGGGCCCCUACCUCACCAACUAGCUAAUGCGCCGCAGGCCCCUCAAAUAGUGAUAAAUCUUUAAAUAUACCAAGAUGCCUUGUUAUAUCCUAUCCAGUAUUAUCCAUCGUUUCCAAUGGUUAUCCUCGUCUAUUAGACAGGUUGCCUACGUGUUACUCACCCGUUCGCCAUGGUUAGCAAGCUAACCAUUCGACUUGCAUGUAUUAGGCACGCCGCCAGCGUUAAUC
rnacentral:rRNA from 1 species